rnacentral:rRNA from 1 species
AGCAUCUUUAAUAGGAUGUUACGAUUGUGUGAAUACAUAGCACAUUCGAGGUAGACGCAGAGAACUGAAACAUCUAAGUACCUGCAGGAAGAGAAAGAAAAUUCGAUUCCCUGAGUAGCGGCGAGCGAAACGGGAAAAGCCCAAACCAGCAAGCUUGCUUGUUGGGGUUGUAGGACUCCAAUAUGGUAGUUCUUUCAGAUAGUCGAAUGACUUGGAAAAGUCAGUCAAAGAGGGUAAAAACCCCGUAGACGAAAUGUGGAAGACACCUAGGAGGAUCCUGAGUACGGCGGAACACGAGAAAUUCCGUCGGAAUCCGGGAGGACCAUCUCCCAAGGCUAAAUACUCCCUAGUGACCGAUAGUGAACCAGUACCGUGAGGGAAAGGUGAAAAGCACCCCGGAAGGGGAGUGAAAUAGAACCUGAAACCGUGUGCCUACAACAAGUCAAAGCCCGUUAAUGGGUGAUGGCGUGCCUUUUGUAGAAUGAACCGGCGAGUUACGAUUGCAUGCGAGGUUAAGUUGAAGAGACGGAGCCGCAGCGAAAGCGAGUCUGAAUAGGGCGUUUGAGUAUGUAGUCGUAGACCCGAAACCAUGUGAUCUACCCAUGUCCAGGUUGAAGGUGUGGUAAAACGCACUGGAGGACCGAACCCACGUACGUUGAAAAGUGCGGGGAUGAGGUGUGGGUAGCGGAGAAAUUCCAAACGAACUUGGAGAUAGCUGGUUCUCUCCGAAAUAGCUUUAGGGCUAGCCUCGGAAUUGAGAAUGAUGGAGGUAGAGCACUGUUUGGACUAGGGGCCCAUCUCGGGUUACCGAAUUCAGAUAAACUCCGAAUGCCAUUCAUUCAUAUCCGGGAGUCAGACUGUGAGUGAUAAGAUCCAUAGUCGAAAGGGAAACAGCCCAGACCACCAGCUAAGGUCCCAAAAUAUAUGUUAAGUGGAAAAGGAUGUGGGGUUGCACAGACAACUAGGAUGUUGGCUUAGAAGCAGCCAUCAUUUAAAGAGUGCGUAAUAGCUCACUAGUCGAGUGACCCUGCGCCGAAAAUGUACCGGGGCUAAACAUAUUACCGAAGCUGUGGAGUACACCUUUAGGUGUAUUGGUAGGAGAGCGUUCUAAGGGCGUUGAAGGCAGAUCGUGAGGACUGCUGGAGCGCUUAGAAGUGAGAAUGCCGGUAUGAGUAGCGAAAGACAGGUGAGAAUCCUGUCCACCGAAUGACUAAGGUUUCCUGGGGAAGGCUCGUCCGCCCAGGGUUAGUCGGGACCUAAGCCGAGGCCGACAGGCGUAGGCGAUGGAUAACAGGUUGAUAUUCCUGUACCCGUUGUUUUUGUUUGAGCAAUGGAGGGACGCAGGAGGCUAAGGAAUGCAGACGAUCGGAAAUGUCUGUCCAAGCAGUAAGUCUGAAGAGGAGUCAAAUGCUUCUUUUCUUAAGGACAAGCUGUGAUGGGGAGGGAAAUAAUAGUACCGAAGUUCCUGAUGUCACACUGCCGAGAAAAGCUUCUAGUGAGAAAACAGCGGCCCGUACCGCAAACCGACACAGGUAGUCGAGGAGAGAAUCCUAAGGUGAGCGAGAGAACUCUCGUUAAGGAACUCGGCAAAAUGACCCCGUAACUUCGGGAGAAGGGGUGCUGAUCAUACGAUCAGCCGCAGUGAAUAGGCCCAAGCGACUGUUUAUCAAAAACACAGGUCUCUGCAAAAUCGUAAGAUGAAGUAUAGGGGCUGACGCCUGCCCGGUGCUGGAAGGUUAAGAGGAGUGCUUAGCGCAAGCGAAGGUACGAAUUGAAGCCCCAGUAAACGGCGGCCGUAACUAUAACGGUCCUAAGGUAGCGAAAUUCCUUGUCGGGUAAGUUCCGACCCGCACGAAAGGCGUAACGAUUUGGGCACUGUCUCAACGAGAGACUCGGUGAAAUUUUAGUACCUGUGAAGAUGCAGGUUACCCGCGACAGGACGGAAAGACCCCAUGGAGCUUUACUGUAGUUUGAUAUUGAGUGUCUGUACCGCAUGUACAGGAUAGGUAGGAGCCGUAGAAAUCGGAACGCUAGUUUCGAUGGAGGCGCUGGUGGGAUACUACCCCUGCGUUAUGGCCACUCUAACCCGCACCACUAAUCGUGGUGGGAGACAGUGUCAGAUGGGCAGUUUGACUGGGGCGGUCGCCUCCUAAAAGGUAACGGAGGCGCCCAAAGGUUCCCUCAGAAUGGUUGGAAAUCAUUCGAAGAGUGUAAAGGCAGAAGGGAGCUUGACUGCGAGACCAACAAGUCGAGCAGGGACGAAAGUCGGGCUUAGUGAUCCGGUGGUUCCGCAUGGAAGGGCCAUCGCUCAACGGAUAAAAGCUACCCUGGGGAUAACAGGCUUAUCUCCCCCAAGAGUCCACAUCGACGGGGAGGUUUGGCACCUCGAUGUCGGCUCGUCGCAUCCUGGGGCUGUAGUCGGUCCCAAGGGUUGGGCUGUUCGCCCAUUAAAGCGGCACGCGAGCUGGGUUCAGAACGUCGUGAGACAGUUCGGUCCCUAUCCGUCGCGGGCGUUGGAAAUUUGAGAGGAGCUGUCCUUAGUACGAGAGGACCGGGAUGGACUUACCGCUGGUGUACCAGUUGUUCUGCCAAGGGCAUUGCUGGGUAGCUAUGUAGGGAAGGGAUAAACGCUGAAAGCAUCUAAGUGUGAAGCCCACCUCAAGAUGAGAUUUCCCAUUUCUUUAAGAAAGUAAGAUCCCUGAGAGAUGAUCAGGUAGAUAGGUCAGGAGUGGAAGUACAGUGAUGUAUGGAGCGGACUGAUACUAAUCGAUCGAGGACUUAACCAA